GGCCAGGUAGCUCAGUUGGUAGAGCAGCGGACUGAAAAUCCGCGUGUCGCCGGUUCGAUUCCGGCCCUGGCCA
rnacentral:tRNA from 2 species